rnacentral:rRNA from 1 species
AGUGAACGCUGGCGGUAGGCCUAACACAUGCAAGUCGAACGGCAGCACAGUAAGAGCUUGCUCUUACGGGUGGCGAGUGGCGGACGGGUGAGGAAUACAUCGGAAUCUACUUUUUCGUGGGGGAUAACGUAGGGAAACUUACGCUAAUACCGCAUACGACCUACGGGUGAAAGCAGGGGAUCUUCGGACCUUGCGCGAUUGAAUGAGCCGAUGUCGGAUUAGCUAGUUGGCGGGGUAAAGGCCCACCAAGGCGACGAUCCGUAGCUGGUCUGAGAGGAUGAUCAGCCACACUGGAACUGAGACACGGUCCAGACUCCGACGGGAGGCAGCAGUUGGGAAUAUUGGACAAUGGGCGCAAGCCUGAUCCAGACAUACCGCGUGGGUGAAGAAGGCCUUCGGGUUGUAAAGCCCUUUUGUUGGGAAAGAAAAGCAGCAGGUUAAUACCCCGCUGUUCUGACGGUACCCAAAGAAUAAGCACCGGCUAACUUCGUG